GACGUCAUAAUGAAGAUCGCCAAUAAUUGAUUGACUGUGACUGUGCAAGCACACGCAGUUUUAGCAAAAUAUCCGGUCCUGCAUUUUUUGAAAAUUAAAAAUUCAACCAAGACAAAUAUGGCAAUCUAAACUAAAAGGACAACUGUUGGAUCUUUAGGUCAAAGAAGGUAAGAAUUGCACAUCAUUUUAUUUUUUUAGGUAGCGGAAAAAUGUCGCCUAUUCUUGUUAUAAUUGCUUUCCCUUGUGUUGUUGCUAUGCAAUAAACUCAUUCAUUUUGAAAUCAAUGGCAUUUCUAGCAAUCUGUUAAUUCCCAAAUUACACAAUUUUGAGUAUUAAUCACACCAUCUUGAGCAUAAAUUCGGUCAUUUUUUAAGCCAAUUAGAUUGAAGCUCUGCACCAAGAGAACCAAUCAAAUGAAAGUAUACUAAAGUAACUAGCCACAGGCGACCCAAACGUAUAUACCAGACCAAGAUUAAUGGUAUUGAUGCUUGUGAUGUUACUCUGAGUGUAUAUCCACACCGGGUAGGCUUGAAAAAUAUGCCUGGCCACGGUGGGAAUCGAACCUACGACCUUUGGACAAUUUUAAUAAAACUGUCUGUAGUACUUCGGCGGCUGCAAGCAUAGUUACGUCGUGGUAUACUACGGUAUAUGUACAAGUUUUUAAUUUAAAUAAGUUAAAAUGUCUU